CUUCCUCUUGACUCAUAACCGAUGUAGGACUAAAGAUAUCCUCUCUACACCACAACAUCAUCCAUUCCCAUUCUGAUUUCGAACCCCCACUCCCACCAACUAAGCACCCCCUAAAUAUAAUCCGAGUUCAGAAGAGAGUAGAAGAUGUUAGAGGACAAAGAGGGAGAUUGACGGGGCAAAGAGGAGGAGAAGAAGAGAAGAAACUUGCAUUGUCCCCUUCCUCAUUGGAGUAGGAGUGGUGACGGCAAUGUUUGUGGCUGUGGCAA
rnacentral:lncRNA from 1 species